UACGUAGGGUGCGAGCGUUGUCCGGAAUUAUUGGGCGUAAAGGGCUCGUAGGCGGUUUGUCACGUCGGGAGUGAAAACUCGGGGCUUAACUCCGAGCCUGCUUCCGAUACGGGCUGACUAGAGGUAUGCAGGGGAGAACGGAAUUCCUGGUGUAGCGGUGAAAUGCGCAGAUAUCAGGAGGAACACCGGUGGCGAAAGCGGCUCACUGGACCACAACUGACGCUGAGGCGCGAAAGCGUGGGGAGCAAACAGG
rnacentral:rRNA from 1 species